rnacentral:rRNA from 1 species
GACGAACGCUGGCGGCGUGCUUAACACAUGCAAGUCGAACGGAAAGGCUCCAGCUUGCUGGAGUACUCGAGUGGCGAACGGGUGAGUAACACGUGGGUAAUCUGCCCUGCACUCUGGGAUAAGCCUGGGAAACUGGGUCUAAUACUGGAUAUGACCUUUCUCCUUAUGGGGUUUGGUGGAAAGUUUUUCGGUGUAGGAUGAGCCCGCGGCCUAUCAGCUUGUUGGUGGGGUGAUGGCCUACCAAGGCGACGACGGGUAGCCGGCCUGAGAGGGUGAUCGGCCACAUUGGGACUGAGAUACGGCCCAGACUCCUACGGGAGGCAGCAGUGGGGAAUAUUGCACACUGGGCGGAAGCCUGAUGCAGCGACGCCGCGUGAGGGAUGACGGCCUUCGGGUUGUAAACCUCUUUCAGCAGGGACGAAGCGUAAGUGACGGUACCUGCAGAAGAAGCACCGGCUAACUAUGUG